AGCGGCGGACGGGUGAGUAACACUUAGGAAUCUACCUAGUAGUGGGGGAUAGCUCGGGGAAACUCGAAUUAAUACCGCAUACGACCUACGGGAGAAAGGGGGCAAUUUAUUGCUCUCGCUAUUAGAUGAGCCUAAGUCGGAUUAGCUAGAUGGUGGGGUAAAGGCCUACCAUGGCGACGAUCUGUAGCUGGUCUGAGAGGAUGAUCAGCCACACCGGGACUGAGACACGGCCCGGACUCCUACGGGAGGCAGCAGUGGGGAAUAUUGGACAAUGGGGGGAACCCUGAUCCAGCCAUGCCGCGUGUGUGAAGAAGGCCUUUUGGUUGUAAAGCACUUUAAGCAGUGAAGAAGACUCAAUGGUUAAUACCCAUUGACGAUGACAUUAGCUGCAGAAUAAGCACCGGCUAACUCUGUGCCAGCAGCCGCGGUAAUACAGAGGGUGCAAGCGU
rnacentral:rRNA from 1 species